GAGUAAAAGUCGUAACAAGGUUUCCGUAGGUGAACCUGCGGAAGGAUCAUUAUUGUAUAACCGAGGUGCGAGGGCUGUCGCUGACCCGAAAGGUCGUGCACGCCCGAGUGCCCUCACACACAUCCAUCUCACCCCUAUGUGCACCACCGCGUGGGUCCCCCUUUGGCUUGUUCGGAGGGGGGCUUACGUUUUCACACGAACUUUGUAUGCAGUGUAGAAUGUAUUUUUUGUUUUUGCGAUCACGCAAUCAAUACAACUUUCAACAACGGAUCUCUUGGCUCUC
rnacentral:misc_RNA from 1 species